rnacentral:rRNA from 1 species
GAUGAACGCUGGCGGCGUGCCUAGUACAUGCAAGUCGAACGAAACUUCUUUAUCACCGAGUGCUUGCACUCACCGAUAAAGAGUUGAGUGGCGAACGGGUGAGUAACACGUGGGCAACCUGCCCAAAAGAGGGGGAUAACACUUGGAAACAGGUGCUAAUACCGCAUAACCAUAGUUACCGCAUGGUAACUAUGUAAAAGGUGGCUAUACUACCGCUUUUGGAUGGGCCCGCGGCGCAUUAGCUAGUUGGUAGGGUAAAGGCUUACCAAGGCAAUGAUGCGUAGCCGAAUUGAGAGGUUGAUCGGCCACAUUGGGACUGAGACACGGCCCAAACUCCUACGGGAGGCAGCAGUAGGGAAUCUUCCACAAUGGGCGAAAGCCUGAUGGAGCAACGCCGCGUGGGUGAAGAAGGUCUUCGGAUCGUAAAACCCUGUUGUUAGAGAAGAAAGUGCGUGAGAGUAACUGUUCACGUUUCGACGGUAUCUAACCAGAAAGCCACGGCUAACUACGUG